CCUACGGGCGGCAGCAGUGGGGAAUAUUGCACAAUGGGCGCAAGCCUGAUGCAGCCAUGCCGCGUGUGUGAAGAAGGCCUUCGGGUUGUAAAGCACUUUCAGCGGGGAGGAAGGCGUUAAGGUUAAUAACCUUGGCGAUUGACGUUACCCGCAGAAGAAGCACCGGCUAACUCCGUGCCAGCAGCCGCGGUAAUACGGAGGGUGCAAGCGUUAAUCGGAAUUACUGGGCGUAAAGCGCACGCAGGCGGUCUGUCAAGUCGGAUGUGAAAUCCCCGGGCUCAACCUGGGAACUGCAUUCGAAACUGGCAGGCUAGAGUCUUGUAGAGGGGGGUAGAAUUCCAGGUGUAGCAGUGAAAUGCGUAGAGAUCUGGAGGAAUACCGGUGGCGAAGGCGGCCCCCUGGACAAAGACUGACGCUCAGGUGCGAAAGCGUGGGGAGCAAACAGGAUUAGAUACCCGGGUAGUC
rnacentral:rRNA from 1 species